rnacentral:lncRNA from 1 species
UUUGAAAGAGUCAUCACUGACGUCUCCUCUGCAGUAUUUAACAAUGAAGAGACUGAUCCUGAAACAAUAAAACCUCUCAGAACCACUCUCCCUCUCAGUCUAAGCAAUGGAGAGUGUUGUCUUGUAUCCAUCACCAGGGAUGGGUCACCUCAUCUCAAUGGUGGAGCUUGGAAAGCUUAUACUGAAACACCAUCCUUCAUUCUCCAUCACCAUAUUCAUUGUCACUCCACCUUACAACACUGGCUCUACUGCUCCUUAUCUCGCCCGCGUCUCCUCCACCAUUCCUUCCAUCACUUUCCACCACCUCCCCACCAUUUCUCUCCCUCUCGAUUCUUUCUCCUCUCCCAACCAUGAAACCCUUGCUUUCGAGCUCCUCCGCCUCAACAACCCUAACAUCCACCAGGCCCUUGUGUCCAUCUCCAACAAUUCCUCCGUCCGUGCCCUUAUCGUUGAUUGCUUCUGUACAGCGGCGCUUUCUGUGGCUGCUCAACUCAACAUUCCAUUCUACUAUUUCUUCACUUCUGGCGCCUGCUGCCUCGCUUCCUUCCUUUACCUCCCUUUCAUUCACCAGCAGACUACCAAAAGCUUUAAAGACCUCAACACCCAUCUCCAUAUUCCGGGUUUACCGCCGGUACCGGCCUCUGACAUGGCGAAGCCGAUACUUGACAGGGAGGAUAAGGCUUAUGAGUUAUUCGUAAACAUGUCCAUACACUUGCCAAGAUCAGCUGGAAUCAUUGUGAACACCUUUGAAGCGCUGGAACCAAGAGCUGUCAAAACGAUUUUGGAUGGGCUCUGCGUCCUUGACGGUCCAACCUCACCAAUAUUCUGCAUAGGACCAUUAAUUGCAGCUGAUGAUCGAUCCGGUGGUGGUGGUGGUGGAGGGGGAGGUAGCGGCAUUCCUGAGUGUUUGACAUGGCUCGAAUCUCAACCAAAACGCAGCGUUUUGUUUUUGUGUUUUGGGAGCUUGGGUUUGUUCUCAGAAGAACAGUUGAAGGAGAUAGCGGUUGGGUUAGAGAGGAGUGGGCAGAGGUUCUUGUGGGUAGUGCGGAGCCCACCCUCCAAGGACCCGAGCAGGCGUUUUUUAGCACCACCGGAACCGGAUUUGAAUUCCCUUCUCCCAGAUGGGUUUUUGGAUCGAACCAAGGAGAGGGGCCUAAUGGUGAAGUCGUGGGCUCCUCAGGUGGCCGUCUUGAAUCACGCCUCUGUUGGAGGGUUUGUGACUCACUGUGGGUGGAACUCAGUGCUUGAAGCAGUGUGUGCAGGCGUGCCAAUGGUGGCAUGGCCACUAUAUGCCGAGCAAAGGUUUAACAGGGUGGUGCUGGUGGAGGAAAUGAAGCUAGCCUUUCCAAUGGAAGAGUCGGAAGAAGGGUUUGUUACUGCAACUGAGGUUGAGAAGCGAGUUAGAGAGUUGAUGGAGUCGGAGGAAGGAAACACCCUUCGUCUCCGGAUCAUGGCCAUGAAAGAAGCUGCUGAGACUGCAAUGAGCGACGGUGGAUCAUCCCGCACCGCAUUAACAAAACUGGUCAAGUCAUGGAGGCCAGGAUGAGAGAAAGAGAAGGCUGUUCGUCUUAGCUUUCAAUUUCUUCCAAAUCCCGAUUAUUCGGUACCACUUCAACCUAGCAAUUGUUUCAUUAGCAAAAUUUUGCAUUUCUUUUAGCAGUUCAAUUUUAUUGUGUUCUUGGGUAUUAAGUUUGUUAACCUAAUAGAAAAUAAAUAAAUAAAAAAAGACAAAUGAUUAAUAUCCCAUGAAGUGCACCAACAUUAAUAAUCUAAUAAUCAAAAUGAAUGAAAGGAAUUAUAGUGGUGAAGUUCUAAUAAAAAAACUCUUUCAAUUGAGGCUGCAUUUUAUAAAAAUAAAAAAUAAAACUUUAAACAUAAAAGGAUUAUAUAUAAUAGGGUAAAUUCAUCAAUUAUCACAUAAAAAAAUUAAAAAAAAAAAAUUGAAAAAGUGCUACCCCUUCCACCUUUACAAAUUGACCGGACAACUCAAUUCAUAUAAGCUUAUGGGGAACUCAACCCUUGCGAGCUGGUCGAACAACUUGAUCCUUGCGAGCUAUCCGAGCAGCUUGAUCCUUGGCAUUUGAACAAAAUACGAUAAUAUUGAUUCAAACUUCAUAAUCUAACAAGGUUUAAUUCCUUUCUUAACUAUUUCAUUUUUAUCACAAAUUUGGAUGAAUUUAAUUAUUCAAUACAAACACCUUUGGACCAUUUCUUGCAGUUUUCAAUGAUAAUCCAUAAAAACUUAGAUAUCAUGCUUGUAAAGUCAUGAACACGGAAGCAAAAAUAUCAUCUAUUAUUAGCAGAUAAAGUCCUAGGAGGGCCACACAUUCUUGAAAUCCAUACGUUUUUCCAAUGGAUACACCCUUCAGUGUACAGAUUUUUUUUUUGCAUGCGUGAAUAAAUGACAAUCCCGUUGUCACUUUGUUUUGAUCUAACAAUUUCAAAAUAUAUAUAUGUUCCUUUCUUUUACAUGUCAUUUUCCUUCUACCUUCUAAAAGUUGUCUUCUAGAGUCUCACUUAAAGUUGUUUUGGACUCUAUCGUGUGAUUGUUACAGCCAAUAUCUAGACAUUGAACAUCUUGUGAUUGAUUCUUCUCAAGUAUUCAUAUAAUAAAUACAAUUAGAAAUAUUAAUUCCCCCCUUUUCCAAUGUUGGGAUGGUACUCAUCUUUCACACCAUUAUUAGAACUGUCCCACCUUGAAGGUUUAUUAAAAAUAAAGCUUCCUAUUUGUGAUUAUCUUUAUUGAAAAUAUUAGAGUGACACCCCUAACCCAAGUAAUUAAGGCUAAGGGGACAAUGGUCAUUUCAUAGAUGGGCCCAAAGGUCUAACAUGUGAAUAAUGUCAGAAAUGUGAUAUAGUCAUUCAUUAAUGUUGGCCGGUUGCUUGUAACAUAUCAAAAUAGUAAUCAAAGAUUAUUAAAUCAACUUUGAAAAUGAAACAAAGUCCCACAUGCACGAGUAUUUAAAACAUUUUUCAAUUAGAUUUAAUUGAAAUAAAGUAAACUAACUAGCUAGUGGUAAAUAAUGGAGCAAAUUUUUUUUUUUGGUUUUUGCCUAUGAUGAGACGAGUUUGGAAGAAGUAUAAGUAGGUUAAGGAUGUGUUUGAGAUUUUUUUGAAACUUAAGACGGGUUGGACUAUUGCUUUGUCCCUCGCCACCAUAUCCCGAUUAUAUAUAGUUAUAAAAAUAAUUUAAUUUAAUUUAUUUUUUCAUUUUCCCCUUUUGUAACACAUAAAAUUUGCCAUAUUUUUUUGUUAAAAUUAAAAAAAAAAUUAUUUAUAAUUUUUUUUUAUAUAAUUAAAGUUUUUCAAAAAAUUAAAUUUUAAAAAUAAUAUAUAUAUAUAUAUAUAUAUAUAUAUGUGGUUUGAAAUUUCAUUGACUAUUUCCCUUAUUCCGAAUAAGAAAAAAGUGACUAAAAUUAAUAAAUGAAAAUAAUAUAAAAGAUAUUUAAUGAAAUUUCAAAUUUAUAAGAAUUACAUAUAUUUAAUCAAAAUUUCAAAGGAGAUGAAUAAAAUUAACUCAAUUAGAAAUCAAUUACUUAUAUCUAUUUACUUUAUUAUCUAAUUCAUUAAUCACCACUUAUGAAUAUAAUCAUCACUUAUAAUUACCAAAAUAUUAUGGUACUUAACUUCAUACCAAGGCCCAACAAAGUAAGGGGAACAUAAGUACCUAUAAUCCCUUAUGAAUUUCUAAUAGUAUAUAUUCUAGAGGUCCAAAAUUCCAACCAAAUUUAAUAGCAUUCAAUUUCCAUCUUAGAUUUUGGCAAGGCUUACAUCAAGAUUAAAACCAACAUCCAAUAUUUUUGAAUCAUGCAUUUUUUUAAAAAGAUUUAAGGCGUAUUUUUUAUCAUAAUUUUAGAAAGUAUUUCUAACAUUUUUAAUACUUAAAAAAUAAAAUUUUAUUUUCUAAAAUCACUAUCAAAUACACUUUUAAUUUAUGUUAUCACACAUAUCUCGGGUUAGGAUAGUAAUAAGCCCUGAUUUCAAAUUACCUCUUCGAGGGGCAUGGUUAUUUUUCAUUUUUCCAACUUUACCAUAUGACCAUACUAGUGUUUGAACCUCCUCUUCCACCAAAAAUUUAUUAGGGUAGUUGCCUUGUUCCUAUCGCUGCUUUAUAUUUUCGUCCUUUUAUGAUAGGUUUAACCUCCUCAAAAGUUUGUUCAAUCAUUUUCACAUGCUUCAAGCUAUCAAGCACUUGCGUUUUGUAUGGCAGCAGAAACAUGUUCACGUUUUGCAGGCAAAGUUCUUAAAACUUGCUUAUCAACAGUUUCUCUUCUUGAAUUGUGUGUCCACAACUUCAUAUUAACAAAAUCUCCAUAAAUUUUGAAGUUCUAUUGAAAUUAUUUUAUCACUUCUCAUGGGAUUCUUAAUUUUUAUAAUACUUGCUAUGCAACUUUAGCUUUCUAAUCCCCAAAAAAUUCUAGGAAGACUAACUUAAUUUGCUUAGCCUGUUGAAUAUAUAUACAAGUAUAAAGAGACAUAACAAGAGCAACUUUGCUUAUGCUUUGUUAAACAUAUAAUAAGCGUAAUAAAGAGAGACAAGAUUUUCUUGAGCAAGAAUCACAAGGCUUGCAAUGAAGAAGUCCAUCUUUUGACACUUGGUUUUCACAAGAUACCAAUGGGCCUUUGGUGUACACUUAAGGUGUCUCUCAACGACUCACGAUUACUUACUACUUACAGUUGGCCUAUAAUAAAUAUAUUUUCGAAAAGAGUAGAUAUAGAUUUAAUGAACAUUAGAUGAUAUUAAAAACUUGUGGAAUAAUAUUUCCAUGUGAUUAUCAAGUGUUAGGUACAUGAUAAAUAAGUUUUAAGAAGCCUGUUUUGGCAUUAAUCUUAUUAAUUUAAGAACUUAUUUGACAGUAAUUUUAAAAAAUAUUUUUUAACAUUUUUAACAAUUAAAUUUUUUUAAUAAUUCAAGUAUUAGAAAUGCUAAAAAUUAUUUUCUAAAUUUACUAUCAAAUGUGCUCUACAUUUGUUAUUAUGAUUAAGUACUAGUGGUUGUAAGUACAUAGUUAACUAUCCAUAUGUUAGUCCGAUCUACACUAAUUAAAGAGAAUCUAUAUGUUUUUUGAUUUGAAAGUUUAAAAUAAAAUAGAAAAUAAGAAUAAUUUAAUUAAAUUUUUAUUCACUUUCAAGAAAAAAAAAUAGUAUUUAUAUAUGUGAUUAAAAGGUAAUACUCUAAUAUUACUUUUGACUUAAAAAUGUAUUAAAUAAAAAAUAUUUUUAAUCGAAUGAUAUGAAUCGAGAUAUAGAAAAAUGAGUUCUCAUUCUACUUAUAUUUCUAAAUAAGACCAUGAAAACAUAUUUUUUCUAUCUUAAAUAGAAAAUAAGCGAAUUAUAAUUUUAAUAAACCAAUCUUUCUUUUAGGGUUCUAGGAUAUUUUGACGUAUGAUUAGGGAGAUAUUUUGUGUUUAAAUUAGGGGAGUUUAAACCAUGUUUUUAAAGUAAGGUUUUACUUUAAAAACAAAACAAAAAUCCCCCCCAAAAAAAAAUCAUGUUUGUCCAUCAAACAUUAUAUAUGAUUUUUAAUUUUUCUUUAAAAAACAUCUUUUAAAUUAUAAAUACUAUUAAAAAGACUCUAAAUUACGUGAGAUAUAGGCCAUUUGAAAGCGACAAGAAAAAAAAAACAAAAAACAAAAAACAAAAACCAAAUAAUAAUAAUGUUUGUCCAUAAAACAUUAUAUACGAUUUUUCGCCUUUUUAAGAAUAUUCUCUACAUUUUAUCAAAUGUUUAUUUAAUUUUUUUUAUAAAAAAUAUCUUUUAAAGUAGAUUUUCUUUUUUUUUUUAAAAAAAAAAAAACUAUUAAAAAGACUUUAAGUUGCAUCAGACGUUUAAAAUGAAGUUAGGUUGUUUGAAAGAGAAAAAUAAAACAAAAAAUCAAAAAGCAAAAGACAAAAAAUAAUAAUAAUAAUAAUGUUUGCCCAUAAAACAUUAUCUAUGAUUUUUCGAUUUUUUAAGAAUGUUCUUUACAUUUUAUCAAAUGUCUAAUUUUUAUUUUUUUAAAUUAGAAAUACUUUUAAAAAAAACACAGUUAAAAAUCUUCUAAAUUGUGUUAGACAUUUGAAACAAAGGCAGACAGUUUGAAAAAGACAAAGAAACAAAACAAAAACCGUGUUUGUGCAUAAAACAUUAUAUAUAAUUUUUCAAUUUUUUUAGAAUGUUCUCUACAUUUUAUCAAAUGUUUUUUUUUAAACAUCUUUUAAAUUAGAAAUACUUUAAAAAAAAAAAUACUAUUAAGAAGACUUUAAGUUGCUUUAGAAAUUUAAAAUGAAGAUAGGUUGUUUGAAAGAGAGAAAAAAAACAAAACAAAACAAAAAGCAAUAAUAAUAAUAAUAAUAAUAAUAAUAAUAAUGUUUGCCCAUAAAACAAUAUAUAUGAUUUUUCAAAUUUUUAAGAAUGUUUUCUACAUUUCGUCAAAUGUCUAAUUUUUUUUUUAUAAAAAAAACGUAUUUUAAAUUACAAAUACUUUAAAAAAAAUACUAUUAAAAAGAGUUUAAAUUGUGUUAGACAUUUGGAACAAAGGCACACCGGUUGAAAGAGACAACAAAACAAAACAUAAGACUAUGUUUGGUUCCCGGAAAGUACAAAGGAAAGAAAAAAAAUGCUAAGGAAAAUGAUUUUCUCAUGUUUGGUUGUCCUAUGAAAAAUAUCAAAGAAAAUCAAAUAUAAUUAAAACUAAUUAAAAACUUAUAUAUUUUUAAAUUAUUUAAUCUUUAUAUUGAUGAGUUAAAAUAAAUAAAAUGAGUUUGAAGUAACAAAAAAAAUAAUUUAUCAACUUUUAAUAUAUUUUUUUUAUUUUUCUUCACUUUUUCUUUCCUUCUACUUUUCCUUUGUAUUUUCUUUCCCUCGUAUUUUCCCUCAAAUUUUCCGGGAACCAAACAUAGCCUAAAGAAAACAAAAAUGAUGUUUGUCCAUAAAACAUUAUAUAUGAUUUUAAAAUCUUUUAAAAAUGUUCUCAACGUUUUAUCAAAUGUGUAUUUUCUUUUUUAAAAAACAUCUUUUAAAUUAGAAAUGCAUUUAAAAAAAAAAACUAUUAAAAAGACUUUAAGUUGCAUUGUACAUUUGAAAUGAAGGUAGGUUGUUUGAAAGAGAAAAAAACCAAGAAAGAAAAAAAAACCAAAAGAAAAAACAAAAAGCAAAAAAUAAAAAAAAAUAAAAUGUGUUUGUACAUAAAACAUUAUAUAUUAUUUUUCAAUUUUUAAGAAUGUUUUCUACAUUUGAUAAAAUGUCAACUUUUUUUUAAAUAUGUUUUAAAUUAUAAAUACUUUUAAAAAAAAUUAUUAAAAAGGCCCUAAGAAUGUGUUUAAAUAAUGUUUUUUGUGAAGUGUUUUUAAUAAAAAUAUAUUUUUUCAAGAACCAUUAUAAAUGGUUUUCCAACUUGUAAAAAGUGUUUUCUAAAUAUUUCAACUAAAACAUUUUUUUAAAACAUAGAAAAACGACCUCUCAAAAUUCCUUCGUAAUUAUUGGAAGAAGCCUAUAGGAUCCGAAAUUGUCCAUGUCGUCCUCCAUUUUGCUUGGGUUGCACAUGGUUUGCUCUGCAUCUUUUCUUAUGCAUUCCAAGCAUCCAUCGAUUGACCAUUAGAUGGGAAAUAAUUGAAGUCUAAAACUACCCGUCUUCCUUUUCCACCAUCCUCUCUCAAACCUGUCCUACCAUUCUCUUUCACAGUGGUGCUAACAGUUGAAAUCUCAACCUUAAAUCAUUAUAUAUUUUUUGAUGAUUGACUUCUCCCCCUUGUCCUUUUGCUUUCUGCACUAUUUAACAAUGAAGAGACUGAUCCUUAAACAGUUAAACCUCUCUCCCUCUCAGUCUAAGCAAUGGAGAGUGUUGUCUUGUAUCCAUCACCAGGGAUGGGUCACCUCAUCUCAAUGGUGGAGCUUGGAAAGCUUAUACUGAAACACCAUCCUUCAUUCUCCAUCACCAUAUUCAUUGUCACUCCACCUUACAACACUGGCUCUACUGCUCCUUAUCUCGCCCGCGUCUCCUCCACCAUUCCUUCCUUCACUUUCCACCACCUCCCCACCAUUUCUCUCCCUCUCGAUUCUUUUUCCUCUCCCAACCAUGAAACCCUUGCUUUCGAGCUCCUCCGCCUCAACAACCCUAACGUCCACCAGGCCCUUGUGUCCAUCUCCAACAAUUCCUCCGUCCGUGCCCUAAUCGUUGAUUCCUUCUGUACAACCGCGCUUUCUGUGGCUGCUCAACUCAACAUUCCAUGCUACUAUUUCUUCACUUCUGGCGCCUGCUGCCUCGCUUCCUACCUUUACCUCCCUUUCAUUCACCAGCAGACUACCAAAAGCUUUAAAGACCUCAACACCCAUCUGCAUAUUCCGGGUUUACCGCCGGUACCGGCCUCUGACAUGGCGAAACCGAUACUUGACAGAGAGGAUAAGGCUUAUGAGUUCUUCCUAAACAUGUUCAUACACUUGCCAAGAUCAGCUGGAAUCAUUGUGAACACCUUUGAAGCUCUGGAACCAAGAGCUGUCAAAACGAUUUUGGAUGGGCUCUGCGUCCUUGACGGUCCAACCUCACCAAUAUUCUGCAUAGGACCAUUAAUUGCAACUGAUGAUCGAUCCGGUGGCGGUGGAGGGGGAGGUGGCGGCAUUCCCGAGUGUUUGACAUGGCUCGAAUCUCAACCAAAACGCAGCGUUUUGUUUUUGUGUUUUGGGAGCUUGGGUUUGUUCUCAGAAGAACAGUUGAAGGAGAUAGCGGUUGGGUUAGAGAGGAGUGGGCAGAGGUUCUUGUGGGUAGUGCGGAGCCCACCCUCCAAGGACCCGAGCAGGCGUUUUUUAGCACCACCGGACCCAGAUUUGAAUUCCCUUCUCCCAGAUGGGUUUUUGGAUCGAACCAAGGAGAGGGGCCUAGUGGUGAAGUCGUGGGCGCCUCAGGUGGCCGUCUUGAAUCACGCCUCUGUUGGAGGGUUUGUGACUCACUGCGGGUGGAACUCAGUGCUUGAAGCUGUGUGCGCCGGCGUGCCAAUGGUGGCGUGGCCACUAUAUGCCGAGCAAAGGUUUAACAGGGUGGUGAUGGUGGAGGAACUGAAGCUAGCCUUGCCAAUGGAAGAGUCGGAAGAAGGUUUUAUUACUGCAACUGAGGUUGAGAAGCGAGGUAGAGAGUUGAUGGAGUCGGAGGAAGGGAACACCCUUCGUCUCCGGAUCAUGGCCAUGAAAAAAGCUGCUGAGACUGCAAUGAGCGACGGUGGAUCAUCCCGCAACGCAUUAACAAAACUGGUCGAGUCAUGGAGGCUAGGAUAGAGAGAGAAGGGUGCUCGUCUUAGCUUUCAAUUUUUUCCAAAUCUCGAUUAUUCCGUGCCACUUCAACCGUAUAUUAUCCUAAUCACACGCUACGGGGGAGAAAAUAAAGAAAGAGACAACAUUUUCAGCGUAGUUUGACAAUCAAAGAACUUGCAUUAACACUCCAUAAUCUACUUAUCAAAAUAAAUGAAAAGAGUUACGAUGGUGAAACUCUUGAAAAAAGACCUCUCAUUUACAUCACACUUUCCAAAAAAUAAAACCCUAAAUAUAAAAAGGUUAAAUAUAUAAUAUGAACAAACUUAUCAAUUAUCAUAUAAAAAAAUAAAAAUAAAAUAGUAAGACUACUCCUUUUAACCCUCGUAAGUUGAUCGGGCAGCUCGAUCCCCACGAGCUCAAUGGGGAAUUCUAUUCCCGUGAACAAAUUGGACAACUCAACCUCCGAUAUUCCAAGUAAAGUGCAAUAAUAUUGAUUUAAGCUUCACAAUCUAACAACAUAUAAUUCUUUUAUUAAUUAUCUCAUUUUUGUUACAAGUUUAUAUGAAUUUAAUUAUUCAAUACAAACACCUUAGGACCAUUUCUUGCGGUUGUCAAUGAUAAUCCAUAGAAAACUUAGAUAUCAUCCUCAUAAAAUCAUGGACAAAGAAGCAAAAAUAUCAUCUGUUAUUAGCAGAUAAAAGUCCAAGGAGAGCUACACAUGCUUGUAGUCUAUACGUUUUUCCAAUGGAUACACCCUUCAGUGUACACAUUUUUUUCUUGCGUGAAUAAAUGACAAUCCAGUCAUCACUUUCUUUUGAUCUAACAAUUCCAAAAUAUACAUAUAUGUUUCUAUCUUUUACAUGUCAUUUUCCUUUUACAUUCUAAAAGUUGUCCUCUAGAUUCUCGCUUGAAGUUGUUUUGGACUCUAUUGUAUGACUGUUACAGCCAAUAUCUAGAUAUUGGAUCUCUUGUGAUUCUUCUCUACUGUUCAUAUAAUUAAUACAAUUAGAAAUAUUAAUUCCCCCCUUUUCUAAUGUUGGGAUGGUAUUCAUUUUUCACACCAGUAUUAGAAUUGUCCCACCUUCAACAUUUGUUAAACAAAAAGGCUUCCUAUUUGUAUUAUCUUUAUUAAAAAAUGCUAGUGCAUGUAGCACUAACCCAAAUAAAGCUAAGGGGAUAAUGGUCAUUUCAUGGGUGGACCCAAAGAUCUAAGAUGUGAAUAAGUCUUUUAAAACUUGACAUAGUUAUUCAUGCAGGGCGGUUGCUCAUAACAUAUCAAAAUAGUAAGCAAAGAUUAUUAAAUCAACUUUCAAAAUGAAACAAGUCCCCAUGCAUGAGUAUUUAAAACAUUUUAUGAUUAGAUUUAAUUAAAAUAAGAUAAACUAACUAGUGGUAAAUAAUGAGGCGAAUUUUUCGAAUUUUUCCUAAUAUUCGCCUCUAAUUAGACGAGUUUAGAAGAAGCAUAAGUGGGUUAGGGGUGAGUUUGAUUUUUUUAAAAAAAAAAAAACUCAGAGGGUUGAACUAUUACUUUCUCCCUCCCCACCAUAUCCAAAUUACAUAUAUAGUUAUUAAAAUAAUUAAAUUAUUUUUUUCAUUUCCCUUUUUUUUAACACAUAAAAUUUACAAAUAAUUUUUUAUUAAAAUUAUAAAAAUUGUUUUUUAUUUAAUUUUUAAUAUAAUCAAAGUUUUUCAAAAAAUUGAAAUUUAAAGAUAAAAAAUAAUUAAAAAAAAUAAGGGAUAGGAAAUUUAUAUAUAUAUAUAAUAGAGAGGAGAAUAUCUUUUGUAUUUCGAAUAAGAAGAGAAUAACUAAAAAUAACAAAUAAAAAGAAUAUCAGAGAUAUUUAAUGAAAUUUCAAAUUGAUGAGAAUUAUAUGUAUUUAAUCAAAAUCUUAAGAGAGAUGAAUGAAAUUAACUGAAUUAGAAAUUAAUCAAUUACUUAUAUCUACUUUGCUAUCUAAUUCAUUAAUCAUCACUUACAAUUACCAAAAUACUAUGGUCCUUAAAUGCAGAAACUUCAGACCCAGGCCCAACAAGAUAAGGGGAGCAUCAGUACUUAUAAUCCCUUAAGAAUUUCUAAUCAUAUAUAUUCUAGAGAUCCAAAAUUUCAACCAAAUUUGAUAGCACCCGAUAUCCGUGUUAGAUUUUGACGAGCCUUUUGUCAAGAUUAAAACCAACGACCAAUAAUUUUGAAUCAUUAUUUCAUUUUUAUUGAUAUUAAUCAAUAAAAUUAAAGUGAACUUGUUAUCAAUAAGUUUAGUUUAGUUAUAUUGAUUGAUGUCGAUGAAUUAUUUUUAACUGAAUAAAAAAAGUCAAUUGUUUUGGUUUUGUCUAUUUAGUCAAAAAACAAAUACCACCUUAGAGUGUGUUUUUUAUAAUAAUUUUAAAAAAAAUUUUUAAUUUUUUCAAUACUUGAAAAUUUUUAUUUUUCAAAUAUUAGAAAAAAAAAAUACUUUGUAUCAUUAAUUUAUAUUAUUGGUAGGCUAAAAUAGGCUCAGUUUUCAAAUUACCUCUUCCAGGGCCAUGGUUAUUUUUCAUUUUUCCACCUUUACCGUAUGACCAUACUAGUGUUUGAAUUUUGAACCUCCACUUCAACCUAAAAUUUAUUAGGGUAGUUGCCUUGUUCUUUAUAUUUUCGUCCUUCUUUUAUGAUAGGUUUGACAGCCUCAAAAGCUUGUUCAAUCACUUUUCACAUGCUUCAAGCUAUUAACUAUUUACAUUUUGUAUGGCAGAAGAAACAUGUUCUUGUUUUUGCAGGCAAAGUCCUUAAAACUUGCUUAUCAACACCUUCUCUUCUUGAAUUGUGUGUCCACAACUCAUAUUAACAAAAUCUCCACAAAUUUUGAAGUUCUAUUGAAAUUAUUUUAUCACUUCUCUUGGGAUUCUUAAUUUUUAUAAUACUUCUUAUGCAACUUUAGCUUUCUAAUCCCCAAAAACUUCUAGGAAGAAUAACUUAAUUUGCUUAAGAGUUGUUUGGUUAAAUUUAAUGCUUAUUUGUUAAUGAUUUAAGUUAAAUUAUACUUAAAUUAUUGAUUAAAAACUUAUUGUUUAAUUAAUAUUAUUUGAUAAAAUUAAUUUAAAAUUAAUUUUAAAUUAUCAAAUUGACAUAUUUAUCAUCAUAAAUUAUAAUUAAGGUAAAGGAAGUCGAGUAACAAUAGAAGUUGUAAAGUAACAAAAGAGAUCGUUGAGGUAAUUAGAGUAAAUUAAAAUAAAAAUAAAUAAAAUAAAGAUAUGAAUUUAAAAAUAAGUUAAUUGUUUUUACUUAUUAUUUAAAGUUAUUUUUCACUUUAAAUCAUACUAUUAAAUUAUUUUACCAAAUAUACUUAAUUUACUUAAUAACUUAAAUUAAAUUAUUAUGUCACUUUAAGUUAUUAAAUUGGUUCACCAAACACCCCUAACCUUUCUUGAAUAUGUAUAGAAGUAUAAAGAGAUCUAACAAAAGUAACUUUGCUUAUUUUAUACUUUGUUAAACAUAUAAUAAGUUAAAUAAAGAGAGACAAGUUUUUCUUUAACAAGAAUCACUAAGUUUACAAUGAAAGAAGUCUAUCUUUUUGACACUUGGUUUUCACAAGAUACCAAUGGACCUUUGGUGUACACUUAAUGUUUCCAUGUGAUUUAAUGCACAUUAAAUGCUAUUAAAAACUUGUUGAAUAAUAUUUCCAUGUGAUUAUCAAGUGGUUGGUACAUGAUAGAUAAAUUUCAAGAAGUCUGUUUAGGCACUAAUCUUGUCAAUCUAAAUUUGCUAUUGCACUACAAGGAAAAUGUCAAAAGAUGACGCUUUUUAAGUGUCAAGAUAGAUAUAAGAUGACGCUUUUUAAAAGCGUCAUAUAUUAGACUGUCAUCUUUUUAAAUCACAUACGUUGACACUUUUAGAAGCGUCAUUUUCUUUGCACGUCAACCAUGACGCUCAUAGUAAGUGUCAUUAUUUGAAACAUUGACGCUUUAUAAGUGUCAUCAUAUGUUAAUAAUUUCAUUCAUGUCAAUAUUGACACUCAAUGAAGCGUCAUUGUAUAGGUAGAAGCAACAUUGACACUCAAUAUAAGUGUCAUCUUAUAACUUUUUAUUUGUAGGAGCAACUUUGACACUUAAUAAAGUGUCAUUGUAUAAGUAGAAGCAACAUUGACACUCAAUAUAAGUGUCAUCUUAUAGCUUUUUUUAUUUGUAGGAGCAACAUUGACACUCAUAAUAAGUGUCAUCGUAUAGCAUUUUAUACCUUGACACUAAAAAAAAAUGCCAUGUUUUUUUAACAUUAACCUUGACGCUUUUGAGAAGUGUCAUCUUCUGUUAUUCAAGUAAAGCAUGACGCUUUAAAAAAGCGUCAUCUUAUCUCAUAUAAAAUUUUAAUAGCCCAGAAAUUAAAAUGUCCUAAUUAUGCCCUGUUUUAUAAUUUUCUAUCAACAAUUAAAUUAAUAAUGAAAACUUAAUUUAAGAAUCUCCAUUGACAAAAAGUAUCAAAUAUGGUCUCCCUUUUUCACUAUUACAAUUUAUCCAUAAACAUCAUAUAUAAUCAACAACUAAAACCAACAAUUUUACAACUUCUUCUUCUCAACUUUAAAUUGUUCAUAACCUUCACUACAUCUAGUUUUACAUCAUUUUUCUUCCAAGUGCAAAAGGAUGGUUGUAACUCACUUUCUAGAUGCUCAAUCUGCAAAAUAAUUGAGAGGGUUACAUAUUUAUUAGUAUUAACAAAUAGUUAAGAAGCAACUUUGUAAAUGAAAUGUGUAUAUGCCAAUUUUUAAAUUUCCAAAAUAUCUUUCUUCCAUUGCAAUAAAUUUCAAAAUAUCAAAAGAACUCAACAAACUCCAAUAAUUUUAUUACACCAAAUUUCUAAAUAUUUUAGAACUCUUAUUCUAUUUUUUUUUUUUAAAAACAAAAAAAAAAAGUUUUUAUCUCAUUGACUAUUUUGGUAUGAUUUUUAUCUUAUUUAUGAAACUUCAACCAUUAACAUCUUCUCAUUCUUCUUAUAGGUUGUACAAGACAUUAGAUGUUUUGCAUGAGAAGGAACUAAGGAAUGAAAAAAAAAACAAAAAAAACUAGAAGUCCAAAAAAUUAUAAAAUUUUAAAUUAACAUAUUUAUGUAAAAUUAUAAAAUUGUGUUAAAAUAUCUAUGUUCUUCUUAUUGUAUUAGUAUAUCAACAUUUAAUAAUAUGAGGAUAUCUAUUAUCUAAAUAUGGAACUUGCAUGAAAUGAUCUCUAAACAUGGAAUUGAUUCAUAAAACUUACAAUAACCACAACAUGUUACCUCAAAAUUCUUUUGAUGAUAUAUUUUGAAUUGUUUGUAGGUGUCCUUCAUCAAGAGCAGUAGUGACGUUGUUAAUAGAAUGACCUAUGCCUUUUUGUACAACCUGAAGAAUAUAUAAUAAACAAUUUAACAACCAAUUAGUAAGAGGUGCUAUUUCCUUCCAUAGGCUUAUUUGUAAGAAGUCUUAAACUAACUUCCUAUUUUUGUAUGUAAAAGAAAAUGGAAGUACAAGAUAUUAUAGACUUUAAGCCCAUUAGUAUAGUAGGAGACCUUUAUAAAUUUAGAUUAAAGAAGUUUAUAAAGCUAGUAAUCUUAAAGACCAAAAAUGCUUUUGUAGAGAAUAGACAAAUUCCUAAUUCAUGCACAUGUAAUGAAACUAAAGGCUCUACGAAAAUGAGCUUGGACAUGCAGAAAUUUUUGUAGCUAUGCUAUUGUAGGAUUUCUCCAAAUCUAACUGAUAAUAAUUUGUAGAGGAAAUAUACAAAAGUUGUUACACCUACCAUGUCUACUUGGCUUCACCUCUCAAUAUGCCAACUAUACAUCAAUCAUAAUAGAGCAACCCCCAAAAUGAUCCAUAUUGAAAACACUGCCAACUAGGAGUACAAAGAUAUACAUUAACAAAUUAUCAUUGUGAAUAAAUCCAUUAUAAAAUUAACAUUAACAAAAUAUUGACUACAUCUUUAAAAGAAUAUGAAGUUGUAUUAGACUAUAAGUUAUAAGAGGUACUUUCAAACAUGAGUAAUGAUUAACUGAGUCACUAACAUAACCCAAUCUGAUCGAACUUCAUUAAUUUCCAUUUCACUAUAUGAUUUCUUCCCACAAAACUGAAUUGGAGUGACAUAUACAAUUCACUAAGUUCAAUUGACCAAAAAAAAAAAAAAUGCUAUAGUAAAAUGACCAACCAUAUGAAUUGAAUUGAGUGCAAACCUUUGAUGUUAGUUGGUUUGGAUUAGCAAUGAUUUCCUUCAUAUAUCUCAUCACGUAAUACCCACAUUCCACACUACCUGGUUGUCUUGGGCACUAUGGGAAAAGUAUCAACAAUUGCAAUAAACACUAGAAUGAUGUUCUUACUUCUUUAGCAUCUUAUUGAUGAUCAUAUUAAUAACCAUCCAUUUUCUAAUUUUUUCAUAAAUUAAGUGGUGAAGCAAUAUAUUUUAAUCUAAACAAAUAAGUACUUACAACCACUUUCACCCAAGUUGGCUCCCUCUUUGAUGUUUUCUGUUUUUCCGGUGGGUUGAUUCUCAUUACCCUACAAAAAGAAUUAAAAAGAUGUUAUUUAAACACUAUCAAUUGUAUUAAAAUAGGAGAAAAUAUAUACUUACAUGUUAACUAUGUCCUUAAGAUCAUCACAUGGUUGACAUGCCAUUGGAUCAAGGUAAUAUGCAAUCAUUUUCUUCAUCUCCAAUGCCACUAACACCCAAUGAAAACUAAAGAAAAGAAAUGAAAAUUGUAAUAUAGUAUCCACAAAUUCAAACAUCACAAACUAACUUACAAACACCAUAUUGAUAUUUAGGAUAAAAGGUUACUCUAGGUUGUAUGGAAUAAGCAUAUAUUCAGCAUGCUUUGUAUUCUUUAGUCGAUCUGCAAUAACCCUUGACCUGUUUUCCUUGCUUCCCUCUCCUAUUCCAGCUUUUGAGACCAAUGCUGGAUUGACAAAAACAUAUCGUUCGGCCUGCUUUGCAUCAAUCAACUUUCUAUGCAAAUGCCUGAUUAUAACCCAUAUGACAAGUUAUCAACAAUCAUUAUAGGUCAUUAGAAAAUAACCUUCUAUCUCAUAAUCUUGUAAAAAGUCAUUCAAAAAUUAUAAAAUCCCUUACCAGAUGUAGUAUAAAAUACAAUUGGAUGACACUUCUUUUGAUGAUAUUAUCAUUUCCAUAUCUUCUUUCAUCAUGAAGGUCUUGAAACUCUCACCAAAAACAUCCUCUGGGAAGUUUAUAGGGUAUGCUCUUGAUGUACUCAGCAUGAGGCCAACCAAUGUCUCAAAAUUUUUCAUAUCUUGUGGUUUUUCACCCUUGGAUUUGACUUCAACUUCAUUUACUUUUUGUUUCUUUGCUUUCUUAGAUGCCUGUACAAUUAAGAACCAUGGUACAAAUCAAAUUAACUAGUUAUAUAUAUAUAUAUAUAUAUAUAUAUAUAUAUAUAAAGUCACUAUAAAGUUUGGUAAUUAAAUUUACUUACUAAGAUGGGAGUACGGAUGAUGACCAAAUCAGUUGGCCACAAAACUUGGUAACCAAUUGCAGCCCCAACAGUAGUAGUUUGUCCAGGAAUAGGAAUGGGAAGGGGUGCACUUGAAUCAUAAGGAGCAUCAACAACUACUAAAUAGUUGGGACCACAUUCAAGUAUAAUUGUUCCACCUGCCACUAUAUUUUCCUUGGUGCCUAUGGCCAGCUCACAUUUUCUAACCUACAAAACUCAAUUCACAAUAAUCACUUCAAUAUUAGUGGGUUUAUACAAAACUAACAUAAAUGCAUUAUCAUCAUCAAUCACCUUAUAGCUCCUAUUACAAUGAUAAAUGCAAUUUCAUUUACAUUCAAUUGCAACAAACUUGCAUGAUAACAUUUCAGUCCAUUGCAUAUAACUCAACCCAUAAUUUAGACAUAUCCUAUUAUAUGUUGCCACAUCAAAGAAGACCAUAUAUGUUGCCACCAACAUUUGAAGUUAAUUCAAACAACAAAAUUAAAUUAAAUUAUUUCUCGUAUUAGAGGAAACUUUGUCAUCAAAUUAGCUUAAUUGAAUAAAUACCUUCUUCUGUGGUUCUAUUGCUUCUGGUGGGGUCACAUCUUCAACUUUACAGAUUGGCUUAUCCACUGCUUCUGGUAGGAGAAGUUGUUUUUGCUUCAUGUUUGAACUGCUAACAUCAGAUUGGGGAGUAACAACUCCUACUUGAGUCAGUUUUGCUAGCACUUCUGCCUGAAAUAUUCUUUGUUCUUCUUUAGAUGCUGCUAUGAAAUCCCUGACAGCACGAUCUGCAGCACUAUUGAAAUAUUGGCGAGGUGUGUAGUGCUUCCCUUUGGCCCUAACUCGACCACUAUACUCAGGAGUACCCAAUGCUUCCACAAGUAUAUCAUUACUUCCACUAACACUUCUACCAUUCUCUUGAGACUCUUUCAAUAGCUUGUCCUUAAAAAAUAUUAAUUAUAAAGUUAAAUUGCAAAUUUGUUAUUGUAAAUAACUUAUUAUAAAUAUAUGUAAUUAAAAUUGAAAAAUAUUCACUUACUAUUUUCUCAAUUACUGGUAUGGCCACUUCAUCAAAGGUGCCGUCCUUUUUUUCCCUUGCUUUCUUCCACAAUAUGCUUCGAUCAAUAGUUUUAAUUGAUCCACUUGCAACCAUCUUUCAAAAUAGGACAAUGUAUAAUAUAAUUAUCAUAUAACCCUAUUAUGUAUUAUGCAUAAAAUAAAUAAAAAACAAUUAAUAGGCUUACACUUACCAUCUCUUCCUUAAGACCGGCAUAUCCUUUCCUACUUAGAUGGUGAUUAUAAAUGUUUCUCUUUCUUCUUUCUUUUUGAAUUUCUCGAUAUUCCUAUAAAUUAAAAUUUUAUAAUUAAUGAAUGUGAAUAAGAGGUAUGUAAAGAGUCUUAAUUAUACCUUAAAGUUGUCAGACAAUCUAUCUUUGAAAAAUAUUGUCCAUCUUCAUCCUCAAUAAAAGUAUAUUGAAUUGGUGGUCUUUUGAGGAGCUCCGGUUGGUCUUCAAAAGGAAGAAUGUACUUCACUGUUAGCAAGUUCUUAAAGGACCGAAAGUAUUUUCCCAUUGUUAACAUACAAUUCCUCCUGCUUUUAUGAUUUAAUGAAAAAACAGUCUGCACAUUAAUACCAAACUUUAGUAAUUUCAAGAGGUUAAGAAUGAUAGACAUUUUGCAUCAAAGUGAUUUAAAUAAGAAAUGGUUACCUCAAUGCUGUCCCAUAACUUAUCCUUCAACUGUUUAGGUACAACAUGCCAAGUUUUAUAUCUUAUUGGCACCAUAGUGCGUGCUAACACGCCUAAGUAGCUUGUUAGAUGAACUGCUGAUUCUCCUAUGAAAAUGCCAUCAAGAUUGUACUUAACCGACAACUUAACCCCCUUGCUUCUGUUUUUUAUAAUCAUAUGCUUCCGUGUCAUCCCUCUGUACUUCCUUUUCAUGGGUUUUUCUCCUUCCUUUGUCUCCAUUCUUGUAACAAAAAAAAUAAAAAAUGAUAAAGAUUAGUUAAAAUUAUAUUGCAUAUAACCUAGUCAAAGAAUAAUUGUAAAACAUAACUUUUCAAAGAAACAAAUCCAUAAUCAUUGUACAAUGAAAUGCAAUAGAUCAUGAAUUCAAUAGAUCUUUUUAGAAUUGUUCAUCAUAUAACAAGGAUAACACUUCAUUUAAACUUUUUUUUGUCCCGCUUUGUUUAACAUUUCAUUUAUUUUAAGCAACCCAAGGGCCUUUGUAUAAGAAAGCUUAAUUUGCAGUAGGAAUUUCCUAUAAGAAUCAACAUGGAAGGAGCACGUGGUUUCAACAAGUUCAUCAAGUCCAUAAGAACUUAUGAAUGCUUUUGGACUAUCGGUUUGUGUUACAUUAAGUUUGGAAAACACAACAUGCAUAUUGAUAAUAAAAAAUUUCAUAAUUUUUUUACUCACAAACAUAACUAAUUUAGUAUCUUCCAUGCACAAUUUAGGGAAAAGGUUUUAGUAAAUAUGUUAUUGGGAGAUGUUAAAGAAUGAUCAAUAUUUUGUGCAAAAAAAUAAAGAAAGGAUAAAAAUUACCUAUUUUGUGGCUGUUGCAACCCAUUCCAUGGCCUUUAUUCAUACAUUAGCAUUAAAAUAUAGCUACAUAGAGGAUUUGUUCUCAAUCCAAAUCCCCUCACAAUCGCCUCGCAUACAUGUUGCAUCUGAGUCAUCCAUUACAUCAAACGCUUCAAUUUGUGGCAAUGCCCCUAUAAAGGGAUGGUGUUCAAUCGAAUUGUCAACAAAGUCUUCACCUCCUUCCAUAUCCAAGAAAUCUUUUUGAGGAGUUGACAAAACAACCGACCAUCUUGGAUCAAGUUGGUCUUGCACAUAAAAUACUUGCUUAGCUUGGGAUGCCAAAAUGAAAGGAUCUGAUUUAUGAGCAAUUUUGCUAAAGUCAACUAAUGUAAAGCCAAGAUCAUCAACUUUUAUGCCAUUUUUAUUAUCAACCCAAUCACACUUGAAAACCGGUAUCCUAAACAUGGUAUAAUCAAGGUCCCAGAUCUCGGUAAUAAUGCCAUAGAAACAAAGCUCACCAAACACUGGAUUUUGAUCCUUUGCACUUGCGAUUUGCAUUGUUGAAGCUACAAUACUAACUCCACUAUUUUGGGUAGUUCGUAAGUCAUCUCGUUCCUUGGUAUGGUAUCGACACCCAUUAAUGACAUAUCCAUGAUAUUUAGAGACAUAAUGGCUAGGACCAUGAGCUAUCCACUUAAGGGUUUCAGAUAUAGGUUCAUUAUUACCAAUUGCAGCUUCAAUCUGUAAUUAUAAAUAAUAGUUAUUAUGUAUGUUAAACAUUAGUAAAAAGAAUACUUCACAUUAUAACACCAUUCCAAUACCUUUUUUCUCAACCAAUAAGUAAAAGUCUGCAGGUGUUCAUCCUGGAGCCACUUUUGUCUUUUUGAUUGACGAGGAUUUUUCAAUUUCAACCAUUCCAUGUGCUCUCUAUGUAAUUAUUUAUAAGAAAUUCAAAGUUAAUGUCUUAAAGUUAUUUUAAGUAUCAGACACAAAUAUUAAGUGUUAGUGGUUCUUACUCAAUAUAAGGUUGAACAAUAGUUGUAUUCUCUAAAACAUAAUGAUGUGCAUGUAACCACAAAUUGGAAUCAAUUGUCACAACUUGACCUCCAGGUAUUGGUGCCCAACUUUUUGGUCAAUGUUUGCACUAAUAGGAAUCCCAAUCGCAUCUACAUUUGAUAAAUACUCUGUACAAAAUUCAAUAGCUUCCUCUGCAAUAUAGCAUUCAGCGAUACAACCUUCGGGCCGAUUACGGUUUCGUACAUACCCUUUCAAAACUUUCAUGAAUCUUUCAAAUGGGUACAUCCACCUUAGGUAAACUGGUCCACAAAGUCUCACCUCCCUUACAAGAUGUACAGUAAGAUGAAACAUGAUAUCAAAGAAAGAAGGUGGAAAGUACUUCUCAAGCAAGCAUAAUGUCACCACCAAAUCAUUUUGUAACUUAUCCAGUGCAGACACAUCAACCACUUUGCUACACAGAGCAUUGAAAAAAAAACUCAAUCUGCAAAUAGCAUGUCUUACAUGCUUUGGCAAAAGGGAUCGUAAUGACAUUGGCAAUAACUGUUGCAUUAAUGUAUGAUAGUCAUGCGAUUUAAGACCAUAAAGCUUCAAGUCUUCCAUUGACACAAGGUUUCUCAUGUUAGAGCAAUAACCUUCAGGAACCUUUAAUUGUGAUAAAGUUUGGCAAAAAACCUUUUUCUCCACUUUAGAUAACGUAUAACAUGCAGGUGGGAGAUAAGUUCGAUUUGAUUCAAACCUUGGCCCCAAUUCACACCUUAAGCCCAUCUCUAGCAAGUCUAGGCGAGAAUUAAGUCCAUCUUUCGUCUUACCUGGAAUGUUGAGUAAGGUACCAAUGAUGCUUUCACAAACAUUCUUCUCUAUGUGCAUUACAUCCAAGCUAUGACGAACAUGUAGGUACUUCCAAUGCUCAAGAUCAAAGAAUAUGGACUUCUUUUUCCAACAAUUUGUAGUAUUGACAUUCAACUUGCCUCGGGAGUUUUUAUUUUUUCCCCAUGAAUUAGAAAUGACACCAAUUUUCCUUAGGAUUUCUUCUCCACUCAAUGGUUGCGGAGGUGAGCUAAACUCUUGUUUACCAUUAAAUGUCUUCUUUUGUUUCCUAAAAGGAUGGUUGCAAGGAAGAAAUCUUCUAUGACCUGUAUAUGAGUUCUUUUUCCCAUGCUUCAAUCUGUGAGAGAAUGUAUCUUCCCCACAUAUGGGACAUGCAAAAUAUCCUUUAACUACACAACCAGAUAAGUUUCCAUAUGCAGGAAAAUCAUUGAUUGUCCAUAGUAGAACAGCUCUUAAUGUAAAGACCUCUUGCUGAUGCACAUCAUAACAUUCAACCCCUACAUCCCACAACAUUUUUAAGUCAUCCAAUAAUGGUGCCAAAUAAAUAUCAAUGUCAUUUCCAGGUUGUCGUGGACCUGAUAUUAAUAAAGAUAGCAUCAUAAACUUCCUUUUCAUGCACAACCAAGGAGGAAGGUUGUAAAUAACCAUUAUAAUAGGCCAACAACUAUGUUUACUGCUCAUUGAACUAUGAGGAUUUAUACCAGCUGCUGAAAUGGCAAGUCUAAGAUUUCUAGGUUCUGAAGCAAAAUCAGGCCAUCUGUGAUCAACUAGCUUCCAUGAUGGGGAGUCAGAUGGAUGACGCAUUUUACCAUCAAAUUCUCUUUCUUGAGCAUGCCAUAUGAGGUCUUUUGCAAUUUUUGGGGACUGAAACAAUCUUCUAAAUCUUGGAAUAGGAGGAAAAUACCACAUUACUUUUGCAGGGACUCCCUUCCUCUUUUUAGUACCUGUUCCAUCUAACUUCCACCUUGAAGUUCCACAAGUAGGACAAGAAGUUGCAUCCUUCAACCCAUUUCUAUACAAUAUGCAAUCAUUGGGACAUGCAUGUAUUUUCUCAUAUUCCAUUCCCAAUGUAUUCAAUGUUUUUUUUGCUUCAUACAUAGACAGAGGCAACUCAUUGUUUAGAGGCAACAUAUCUCCAAGAAUACUUAAAAGCUCUGAAAAGCUUUUAUCAGACCAUCCAUAUCGUGCUUUCAGGUUGUAUAAUUUGACCAAUGCAGAUAACUUUGUAAAGUUUCUACAACCAGGAUAUAAAGGUUUUUUAGCAUCUUCAAGUAAUGUUUCAAACAAUUUUGGGUCAUUCUUACGAUCAUCAUAUGCAACUUGAACCAUUUCUAUUGUACUAUCCACAUCGUUAAAUUCAACUGUAUGAUGCCAUUCUACCCUACUAGUUGGUGGUCCACUUGGAGCAGCGUCUCCAUGCCAAUACCAUGUAUGGUAACUCUGAUCAAUUCCAUAGAAGAAUAAAUGUUCUCUAAUUUUUUGAGGAGUGUGGAAUAUCAUAUUACCACACUGAAGGCAUGGACAUUUCAUGGAGUUUUUAUAUGUGGAAUAUUGUAAUGCAAAUGCGAUAAAGCUUUCUACCCCAUCUGCAUAAUCCUUUGAUCUCCUAUCCUUUGACAUCCAAGAACGAUCCAUUUGAUGUACAAGAGAUAAACACAACUCCUAGAUACCACCAACAACUAAAGUUAUUAAUAAAAUCCUAUUAAUAGGCUUAAAAUAUAUAAUCUACCAAAUUAAAAUUUCCCACAUUGUCACUAAACUUAGACCAAUCCAAAAAAGGACAAUGUGCAAGUCAUCUAACAAUAAGCAAUAUGACAAGAAACAUAAUUAGUAUAUUAGGUUAUUCAAUAUUGGCAUAAAAAAUGGAUCUUAGUUCAUUCAUGAUGUUUGCUUUAUUCAUGAAUAGGAAUGAAAAGCAAGAUCUAACUUUUAGUCUUCUCUUAUAUUAUUGAAUACACCAAGUUUGAAAAUUUUAAAACACAUAACCACAUGAGACAAUGAUACCAUGAACUAAAACAAUUAACGAAUGGAACUAAGAUUCGAAUGAAUAGAAGCAAGUGAUUUAUACAUGAUUUAGGCAUUCUAACAUCUCUAACAUCCUUAAUUAGGUGGUGGUUCCUAUCCCAUAUAGGAAUACAUAAUCCCUAUGUGUCAAUUGGCAAUAUACUUAAAUUCAUUUUAAAGAAAUUUCGGCAGCAUUUCCCUAUAGUUCUCCAAGUACACAAAAUGGAUAAGGCACAAUAUGUGACCUUGUCCAAAUAUGCACCUAGAGAACAAGAAGAAAGACUACCAAAUUUUCUCAAAAUUGAAUUAAGAACAAGCAAUUAACUUCAUAGAUAUCAUGUUUUCCUAUACUGUCCAGCUGGACAAUUCAAACAUCAUUUGCAGAGAAAAGAUUUUAUCACAUGGAAGACAAAUUUAGUAAUUGUCAACUUGAAACUGGCUUAAAUAUACCCACAUUUCACAUUUUGACAACUUAUUGUCUUAGUAUGUAAUAAGAGAAACUUCUGUCUCACAAUGAUACUUGAAUGGGAAUUCUAAGGUUUCAUGCAUGCAUAGUUGAUUAAAACUAAAACAUAAAUACUUAUUAAAAUAUUACAUCUAGUUAUGUAUUAUAAAUUAUUCAUAUCAAUUGAAAUGGUGAGAAUAGGAAAAUAUUGUUUGUAAGCAUCACAUUUUAGACCUAAGUUCACAAACUUUGCUAAAUCCAUUAAAGACCCACUACAUAAAGUUCAUGUUAAAAUUGGUUCAUCUCCAACCCCCAAAAUGAUUUAUCAAAGUUACUCAUUUUUUAGAGUCUUGAUUAAUUAGAUAAUCAAUAUAGAUACAUAUAAUUUGUAUUAAUAUAAUAUCAUGAUAUUUUUUUCAUUUUGUUUUUAGGCUUAGACUUGGGUAGAUUUCCCAAGUAAGGCUAAAGUAGAGCUAAGCCGCACCUUGACAUGUGUUCUACUUAUGUUGGGGGUGACCAUUCUAGUUUAUGGUCAUAAGUGGGGUGUCAAAUCUCAAUUAGUUUAUUGAAUAGAUGAACCAAACAUGACGUUAUUAUUAAUUAGAUAACAUGUUGUGUAACCCAUUUAAAAAUGAAGUUGAAUAACAUCUUUUGUAACAUAAGCAAUGAAGCCUAUGUCAGAUUGUGAAGCUUAAAUUAGUAGUAAAUGUUGCACUUCGCUCGGGAUGUCGGGGGUCGAGCUGCCCGGUCAGCUCGCGGGGGUUGAAGGGGGCAGCGCCCCCUGAAGAAAUUUUUUUUAUUUAAUUUGAAAGCCGUAUGAUUCUGCUCAUAGGCAGUAGUUAUUGAGUUCCAUGGCACUACAUCCCUUAAUAAAAAUUGUUGAAAAACUUUCUAUGCAUUCCAAGAGCCCAUAUCUCGAAAUGACAUUUCAUCAAACAAGUUAUAGGCAGUACCUACAACUCCAUGGAAAGCAAGCUCAUUUCGGCAUGAACCAUUGUACACAAAUGGAACAACACCAGAACCAUUUCCAAAUCUUCCAGAGAACAUAAGAACCAGAGAACAAAAACAGAGGAGAGACACAACUGAGCCUAAAAACAGAGGUAUAGUAUCUUUUUAUCGAAAAUGCAAACCAAGAAAAUAAUUGAUAAUAAAAAAAAACCACAACAAAUUUACAAGCAUUCACACUCAAAUCCCAGAAAUCAAUAGUGAAGAAUGUGAAUCAAUGGGAAAACGAGAACAUAUGGGCUCGUACCAGACAACUCUCUCUUCUGGGUUUUUUCUUCUCCCUUCUUUUCUUUCCUCUGUUCCUCUGGUUCUUCGACCUUUCCUCCUUGCUUACCUCUUCAACCGAAGGCACCUGCCUUUGCUGCCUCUUGCCUCUCCCAACCUACGAAUCUAAAAAAACCCUAGCUUUCUCUCAUAUCUCCAUUCAUUUCCUUUCUCUCAAUCCAGCACCCAAAUAGUCAAAUCGGUGGAACAUCCAUGAAUGCUAUCUUCUUGAUUUGGAGUAAGAACUUCAUUUUCUCAAUCGAAAUUGGUUGGAGCUUGCUGGUUCAAUUAGAGACAGAUUUGGUAAUGAAACUUGAGUGUGGGCAUCGGGUAUGGAAAAACCUUUAUAUUACAUUUAUCUCUUUUUUUUUAAUUGAAAAAUGUGAGUAAUUAUAAAAUGAACAGAAAAUGACGCUUUUAAAAGCGCCAAGGUUGAGGUUCUCCUACAAUGGCACUUAAAAAAGCGUCAUUAUUUGAAAUGCAUUAUACAAUGACGCUUCUAAAAGCGCCAAGGUUGAGGUUCUCCUACAAUGACACUUAAAAAAGCGUCAUUAUUUGAAAUUCAUUGUACAAUGACACUUAAAAAAGCGUCAUUAUUUAAAAACGUCAUUAUUUCUCCCAUUAAAGCGCCAAGAUAAUGCAAGCGUCAUUAAUACCCAUUUUUGAGAAUAAAUAAUGGCACUUUAUAUAAGCGUCAAGAAAAAAAGCGUCAUAAAUUACAUUUUUUGUAGUAGUGUUGGCAUUAAGUACUAUUGGUUAUUGCAGGCUCAACUAUCCAAUUGCUAGGCCGAGCUACUUUAAUUAAGGAGAAUAUAUAUAUGUGUUUUUAUUUGAAAGUUUGAAAUAAAAUAGAAAAUAAGAAUAGUUGAAAAAAUAAUAAAAUUUAUGGACUUUCAAGUAGAAAAUAGUCCUUAUAUAUAUCAUUAAAAGGUUCAUAAUACUCAAAUAUUACUUUUGACUUAAAAAUGCAUCAAAUAACAAUUUUUUUUAAUUGCAUAGUGUGAAUCCAAAUAUGAAAAAAUGAGAUCUCAUUUUACAUAUAUUUUAAAAUAAGACUAUGAAAACAUAUUUUUCCUAUAUUAAACGGAGAAAACAUUUCAAAAGGGUGAAACAAUGUACUCUAUAAACAAAUGAUAAUUUCAAUCAGCCAAUUUUUCUUCUUGGGUUCUAGGAUCUUUAAACGUAUGAUUAGUGAGAUAUUUUGUGUUUAAAUUAACGGGGUUUAAACCAUGUUUUUAAAGUAUGGUUUUACAUGAUUGGUAUAAGAACACUUUAACAACCAAGGUUUUGUUCCAAUAUAGAAGUGUAUUUUUUUCUAUAUCCAUCAAAUAAACAUCACCAAUCAAAUGGUGCCACAUAUACAUUUUUAGGUUUCGUUGUUUAUACUCUCAUCUCAUUUGUUUGUAUUUAUCAUUAUACCUUAGUUUCAUUAAUUUGUACUAUUUUUUAACCGUCUAGAUCAUAUCAUAUAUAUUCAUGGGUUUGAAGUUUGUUUGGUAUAUACGCAUUACCAUGUUACUUUAGCAUUUUCCUAACAACCAUGACCCUAAGACAUGUCUAUGCAAUCUGCUUGUAAGCUUACCAUGCAUUCAUACCUCCAAAAGCCAGAAACCACAAUUUGGUAAAGCUCUAACUUUAUCACUCAACUAACAUAAGGGUAGGUUGAGAUCAUCAUGCAACGUUGGUUAUUAUAUUGAAUUCAAAUUGUCAAUUACAACAACCCAUGUGCAUUAUCUUUACUGUCUGGAAGCCAAGAAUAAUUUGUGGCAGUGUCUCUCGGGAGAACCAGAAGCAGUGUCUGAGCGGUUCGUUUCCAGCAACUGAAAGUCCUGAUUACCCGGGUCUAUCAGCCCUCCCACGGAAUUGUAACAUGUUGACUGGUAGAUAUCUCUAUCUCUCUUCAGAUUAAAAGCAUCAAUAUAUGGAUAUGCUCUUAGACAUACAGAGUUGACCCAGCAGGAGAAAGUAGCCACAGAGUAGCUAAACCCUAAGAAUUUUGAAUGAUGAAGAACACCAUUGUUCUGUAUCCUUCUUCAGGUUUAAGCCACCUUGUUCCCAUGGUAGAGAUUGGCCGACUCCUGCUCGCUAACUACCCUUCCUUUUCCAUCACCAUCCUCAUUGCCACCCUACCUUCUGACACCGCCUCCACUGCCACAUACAUCGCUUCCAUUGCUGCCACCACCCCUUCCAUUUCCUUCUACCACCUCCCCACUGUUUCUUUUUCCAACCCGUCCGGUUUUCCAGCUCUAUUCUUUGAAUUUAUAACCCUUAACAACAAUAAUCUCCGUCAAACCCUAGAAUCCAUGUCCCAGACCUCAAGUAUUAAAGCCUUCAUCAUCGACUUCUUCUGCAAUACCUCUUUCGAAAUUUCGGCAAAUCUUAACAUCCCAACAUACUAUUUGUGUACUUCAGGGGCAAAUGGGCUUGCGAUGUUCCUUUACCUCCCAACGAUUGAUAGACACAUUACAAAAAGCUUGAAAGAUGAUCUCAACAUGCAUAUCCAUGUCCCGGGAACACCAUCCAUUGCAGCUUCUGACAUGCCCUUGGCGUUGCUUGAUCGCAGGACUGAAGUCUAUCAAUACUUCAUUGACACCGGAAAUCAGAUGGCUAGAUCAUCUGGAAUCAUCAUAAACACUUUUGAAUCGCUUGAACCAAGAGCUAUUAAAGCGAUAUCAGAGUGCUUCUGCGUUCCAGAUGCACCGACUCCUCCAAUUUUCUGCAUCGGGCCAUUGGUCUUGAAUUCGAAUCGAGCUGGUGGUGGCGGUGAUGAACAUGACUGCUUGGGCUGGCUCAAUAUGCAGCCAAGUCGAAGCGUCGUGUUUCUGAGUUUUGGUAGCAUGGGGUUGUUCUCAUCGGAGCAGUUGAAGGAAAUCGCAACUGGGCUAGAAAGAAGUGGAGUGAGGUUCUUGUGGGUGGUGCGGAUGGAGAAGCUCAAUGGAGAAACACCUCAGCCAAGCUUGGAUUCAUGCUUGCCAGAAGGGUUCUUGGAGAGAACGAAAGAUAGAGGUUAUCUGGUGAAGUCUUGGGCACCACAGGUGGCGGUGCUGAGUCAUGACUCGGUUGGCGGGUUUGUGACUCAUUGCGGGUGGAAUUCGAUUCUGGAAUCUGUGUGUGCUGGAGUGCCUAUGGUGGCAUGGCCUCUGUAUGCAGAGCAAAAGAUGAACAGGGUGAUCUUGGUGGAGGAAUUCAAGGUCGCUUUGCCGGUGAACCAGUUGGAAAACGAUUUUGUGACUGCGACUGAGUUGGAGAACCGAGUGACCGAGUUGAUGAAUUCCGACAAAGGAAAAGCGUUGAGAGACCGAGUUAUAGCCAUGAGAGAUGGUGCCAAGGCGGCCAUGAGAGAGGACGGAUCAUCUCGGCUUGCACUAGCCAAGUUGGUUGAGUUAAUUACACGAGCUCCACCGACUUGAAAAACUUUAACUCAGUUGUAAUUAAAUUUGUUAAUUACAAUUAUAUUUAAAACAAAUUACAACUUUACCAAAUUAUAUUUAAAUCUACUUUGGUUUGUGGGCCUGGCUGGCCUUAGUCGCUGAAAGCCUCCAGGAUGGACUGGGUCCAGCACUGCCUGCCUGACUGGUCUGGCCUGACCCAAGAAUAUGUUCGGCCCAUCCCACGAGCAGCCGCAAACACCUACCUAUUUGGGAAUAUUUUCCAAAAUGAUUUUUGAAAAAUAAUUUAUGAGAACAGUUGUUGAAAAUAUGUAUCAAUUAUUUUUAGGAAUAAAAUUUUAUUGAAAACACUCAAAUAUAAAAAACAGAUUUUUGACUUAUUUUUCAUAGAAGUAUUGAUUUGCUUCAAGAAUUGUUAGUUUUACAAGAGUAAUUAACUCAUUGCCAAGUUAUUUUUUGUGUUAAUCAUCACCUUUAAUCACCUAUUUAAAUCACUUGGGUUGUUUGGUAAUUUAAUAUAAUAUUUUUAGUGGUUUGAAAGGUAAAGAUGGCAACGGAUGCCAAUUUAAUAAUGCAAGAUAAUGGAAGAUUAGGAAAAUAGAAAACCUGAAAAAACAAACGUUUGUACCCAUUAGGGUAAGAGUAUCUAUUGACAAUAAUUUUAGAAAGUAUUUUUAGUUUUUUUUUAAUAUUUAAAAAUUUUUAUUUUUCAAUUAUAAAAAAUAUUAUAAAUAUUUUAUAAAAUCCUUAUCAAAUACACUCUAUGAUUACCACUUAAAGGGGAGCAUGCCCGGUGUGGCAUGCCCAUCACCAAUUUUCAAAGUCAAAGCUUAUUUGGGGGUUCAUUUCUAUUUUUCAAUGCAUUAUGCAUUGCAUCCCAUAGAAUGACCUUGUAAUUCUCUCCUAGUGAUUAAUCCCUUUGUUUUUACCAACCCAAAUUUUAUUUCUUUUCCCUUUCCUAUCUACAACCCGGUUCGUGAAAAAUUUGAGGAAAAAUAUAAAUAAAAGAAAAUACAAAGAAAAAGUAGAACGAAAGAAAAAAUGAAGAAAAAUAAAAAAUAGAUUAAAAAUCGAUAAAUUAUUUUUAUUUGUUACUUUAAACUUAUUUUACUUAUUUUAACUCAUCAAUAUAAAGAUUAAAUAAUUUAAAAUAUAUAAAUUUUUAAUUAAUUUUAAUUAUAUUUGAUAUUUUUUUAUAAGAAAACAAAAUAUGAGAAAAUAAUUUUUCUUUAUAUAUAUAUAUAUAUAUAUAUUUUUCUUAGUAUUUUUUGGUAACCAAACAUAUUAAAGUGAAUUCCUACUCUUCUUCCACAAUCAACUAACGGAAUCAAAUUAUGACUUGCAAGUAGCAACUCUUCACUUUGGGUGGACACUAUACAAUAUCCUAUUUCAAGCACAUUCUACAAAUUAAUAUAUGAUACAAAAACUUUUCAAAAUUCUCCAUAUUUUCAAUUGUUACUCCAGACCCAUUAUGAAAAACAGUCAAAAGUAACUUUUAAAAAAUUACUUGUUUUUAGAAUAAAUUCAUAAAAAAAAUAAAAAUAAAAAAUUUAUUUCUAUUUAAAAAUUUAUUUCUAAAUUAAACCAGUCUAGGCUUUAAGAAGUAAUUAAUGUAGCAUUGUUUCUACCCAGCUGCAGGAGAGUUGGAACCCCAAAGAGGUGACAAGCUAGCAACACACCAAAGGGCCAUUUUCUCAAAAGAGAGACAGCUCAUUUAUGCUAGUUUGGCCCAUUCCUACUCGACUUUUGGGGUUUUUUUUUAAUAACUUAUACGGCAAUUUUAAAAGUAAUUCUUUAAAAAUGGCAAUUAGAAAAAUAUUGAUAGAUAUACGACACUUUCGUAAAAUAAAAUAUGUUUUUUGAAGAGACAUCUUUCAUCAUUUUCAAAUAUCUAAUAUUCACUUAGAAAAAUUGAAUUUAAACUAAAAGUGUUUAUUUAAGAGACAUUUUUUAGAAUUCUAAAAAAUUGGAUUUAUACUAAAAGUAUAUUUUGAAAAGACACUUUCCACAAUUUUAUAAAAUUCAAUGUAUACUAAUUUUUUUGAAAAUGUGUCUCUUGAAUAAACAUAUUUCAUAAUUUCACAAAUUUUAAUUUAUACUACAAGUGUCUCUUGAAUUUGAUUUUAUAUUGAAAGAGACAUCUUCUACAAUUCAAAAAAAAAAAAAUGAAUUUAUAUUAAAGGUAUCUCUUUAAAAAAUAUUUUUUCAUAAUUCCACAAAUUCCAAUAUAUACUAAAGGUGUCUUAAAUUUUAAUUUUAUUUUUAAUUUUCACAUUCAACAAUUUUACAAAUUUUAAUUUUAUAUUAUAAGUGUUUCUUAGAUUUUAAUUUAUAUAAAAAGUAUCUUUUAAAGAAAUACCUUUAGUAUAUAUUAGAUUUUGUGGAAUUGUAGAAGGUGUUUUUUUAAGAGACACCUUUACUAUAAAUCAUUUUUUUUUUUUUUAAUUGUAGAAAGUAUUUACCUUCAAUAUAAAAUCAAAAUUAAGAGACAAUUGUAGUAUAAAUUAAAAUUUGUGAAAUUAUGAAAGGUGUAGAGACACCUUUGGUAUAUAUUGGAUUUUUUUUGAAUUGUGGAAAGUGUCCCUUCAAAAGACACCUUCUAUUAAAAUUAAAUUUAGGAGACACUUAUAGUAUAAAUUACAAUUUUUGAAAAUGUAGAAGAUUUCUCUUCAAGAGAUACCUUUUAUAUAAAAUUAAAUUUAGGAGACACUUGUAAUAUAAUUUAAAAUUGAUGAAAUUGUGAAAGGUAUAUCUUCAAAAAACACAUUUUAAGUAUAUAUUAGAUUUUGUGAAAUUAUAAAAAUUGUCUUUUCAAAAAGACAUCUUUUACUAUAAAUCAAAUAUUUUAGAAUUGUAAAAAGUGUUUCUUGAAAUACUUUUAGUUUAAAUUCAAUUCUUUUAAGUGUAUAUUGUAAAUUUAAAAAUUAUGAAAGAUAUCUUUUGAAGGGAUAUCUUUAAUAUAAAAUCAUAUUCAAGAGAUAUGAAAAUAGGUUGUAUGAAAAAAGUUAAAAUAUAAUUUUUUUUCCACCUCUCUCUUAUAUAUUCAAAAAGUUUUAUAUAUUCAAAAAGUGUCCGUAAAAUUGGAAUUAUUUUCCUAUUUACGGUAUUUUAUAAAAUAAUUUUUUAAAAGUCCGUACAUUUAUCAAAAACCCAACUUUUUGGGUAUGGCAUUGAAUAUGCCUUUCCUACAAAUAUUCUGUCUCAAACCUCUUAGCAGUGCCAAAGCUCUGUUACAUCAAACCCUAAUCUUUAACAUAAUUUUGUUUGUCAAAUUAUUGUCACUUUUUUGCCUGAUUUGAAUGGAGGGUAUACUUGUUCUCUCUGUGAAAGGGAAGUUGAUAUUUUGAGCGGCCAUGACUGAUUUUUCUUCCUUCCUUUGAUUUCUUCUUUACGUCCUUUUCAUUAUCUUCCGGAUGUGCGUAUAGAUGUUGAUAUGGCAUCCUUGAAAACAAACCAUCUCCACAAACUAUUCCCUUUCCACAACCAACCCCCUCUGCUCUCCGGCCCUCUCAGCAAUGGAGAGUGUAGUAGUAUUGUAUCCAUCGCCAGGGAUGGGUCACCUGGUCUCAAUGGUGGAGCUUGGAAAGCUUAUAUUGAAACACCAUCCUUCAUUCUCCAUCAUCAUCUUCAUCGUAACCCCACCUUACAACACUGGCUCUACCGCUCCUUACAUCGCCCGCGUCUCCUCUUCCACUCCUUCCAUCACCUUCCACCACCUCCCCACCAUCUCUCUCCCUCUCGAUUCUUUCUCCUCGCCCAACCAUGAAACCCUUACUUUCGAGCUCCUCCACCUCAACAACCAUAACGUCCACCAGGCCCUUGUGUCCAUCUCCAACAAUUCAACUGUCAGUGCCCUUAUCAUCGACUUCUUCUGCACUUCUGCUCUUUCCGUCGCUAAUGAACUCAGCAUCUCAUGCUAUUAUUUCUUCAC